rnacentral:rRNA from 1 species
UACGUAUGGUGCGAACGUUGUUCGGAAUCACUGGGCCUAAAGAGCGCGUAGGCGGCCUUGCAAGUCGGGUGUGAAAUCCCCCGGCCCAACCGGGGAACUGCACCUGAUACUGUUUGGCUAGAGUGCAGGAGGGGAGAGUGGAAUUCCUGGUGGAGCGGUGAAAUGCGUAGAUAUCAGGAGGAACGCCGGUGGCGAAAGCGGCUCUCUGGUCUGUAACUGACGCUGAGGCGCGAAAGCUAGGGGAGCAAACGGG